CUUUCACCCACUUUACAGCUUACAAGCAUGCGACAUCCAACCCUAGAUUCCCUUUCACUCCACUCCACCCUCUUUAUUCUUACCCUCCCAUUGGCUUUGAUCUACAUCUCUAAGCUCCAUCCAUGGCGGGGCCUUCGACAUCGAGUAGCUCGCCAUUCGGAUACUGAAAACCCUCACCAAGCUCCUUUUCGUCGACCUCAUUCUCCUCAUCUUCGUCUUCUUUCAUGAAUGGUAGGCUCAUGCCCUGCUCUUCACCCUCCUCCAUUUCCUCGUAUUUUGGUGGUAUGCCGCGAUCUGCUACCCCGAGCCAUAGGUGAAGCCGCACUCCUACUGGCUUUGCUUUUGCGGAUGAGCUGGUUGAGGAGUUGAAUGAGGCUGUGAGAUCUGGGGAGGGGGAUACUAUCUCUGUUACUGUGAGGUUUCGGCCAUUGAGUGAAAGGGAGUUUGAGCGAGGGGAUAAGAUCACGUGCUAUGCUGAUGGUGAUAAGGUGGUGUGCAACCAGUAUAAUCCUGCCACAGCUUAUGCUUCUGCUGCCUUUGCCGGAGCUUCAUCUGAUCUUCAGGUCAAAUCAGCCAGAGUGAACCUCGUCAUCAUCCUCAACCUCCAUUGGAUCUUCAGAUCAGCCGUCGGAUUUGGAGCAUCGGUGAAAUGGGGGAUCGAUGCAGAUUCGAUCGGUGAAGCUGGAAGGAAGAGGAGCAUCGAUGACGAUCGGUAGUGAAAUCAAUCGUCAUUCUGGUUGAAAGAGCUCGUCGGAGGAGGAAAAGAAUCGAAAACUGGGACACCAUCGAAGGUGAACUCUUUAGCUUGUUCUUCUUAGGGUUUGAAUAUGUUUUCCCUCUCUCUGUGGCCAUUGCAGGAGGUUGGAGGAGGAAGGAAAGCAUCAGCAUGAAUUGGCGGAUCGGGGUGGUACAAUUGGAGGUGAACUCAUUGGCCUCUUUUUUUUUUUGUUUUUUUCUUAAGAGAAGAGAAUUCAAAGUAGUUUGUUCGUUUUAGAGUUUGAAUAUGUUUUUUUCUUGUGUAUUUCUGAUGGGAAUGGAAGAGCCCUCAUUCUCUUCUGAUUUAGAGGAUAUAUCAACUUCAACGAGGCUUGUGGAUUGGGAGUUUUAAGAAGCAGAGACAUGACUGAGCAAACGCAGUUGAAGUACUCAUCAAGGAUCUCAAAGUCUUUGCUACCCUUUAAUGAAGAACUUCUCAAGGAGAUUACUCAAUUGCUUACUCUUGAGAACUUCAGACUUAAGCAGACAUAAUGAGCAACUUUCUUUCCAAGUAUGGGGAUACAUAGCCUGCCAAAAAUAUAAUGCUUCUUGAGCUUAAAAAGCUUAUUGAAGCUAAUCCACUGUUUUGUGACAAGCUUGCAUUUCCAGCA